rnacentral:rRNA from 1 species
CCAGACUCCUACGGGAGGCAGCAGUGGGGAAUAUUGGACAAUGGGGGAAACCCUGAUCCAGCGACGCCGCGUGAGUGAAGAAGUAUUUCGGUACGUAAAGCUCUAUCAGCAGGAAAGAAAAUGACGGUACCUGACUAAGAAGCCCCGGCUAACUACGUGCCAGCAGCCGCGGUAAUACGUAGGGGGCAAGCGUUAUCCGGAUUUACUGGGCGUAAAGGGAGCGUAGACGGCAGCGCAAGUCUGGAGUGAAAUGCCGGGGCCCAACCCCGGAACUGCUCUGGAAACUGUGAAGCUGGAGUGCAGGAGAGGUAAGCGGAAUUCCUAGUGUAGCGGUGAAAUGCGUAGAUAUUAGGAGGAACAUCGGUGGCGAAGGCGGCUUACUGGGCUUUUACUGACGCUGAGGCUCGAAAGCGUGGGGAGCAAACAGGAUUAGAUACCCGAGUAG